UACGUAGGCAGCAAGCGUUGUUCGGAGUUACUGGGCGUAAAGGGUGUGUAGGCGGUUCUUUAAGUUUGGUUGUGAAAUCUCCCGGCUUAACCGGGAGGGUGCGCCGAAUACUGAGGGACUAGAGUACGGGAGAGGAAAGUGGAAUUCCUGGUGUAGCGGUGAAAUGCGUAGAUAUCAGGAGGAACACCGGUGGUGUAGACGGCUUUCUGGACCGUAACUGACGCUGAGACACGAAAGCCAGGGGAGCAAACGGG
rnacentral:rRNA from 1 species